AUACUUACCUGGCUGGCAAGAUACCAUGAUCAUGCAGGUAGUUUUCCCAGGGUGAGGCUCAUCCAUUGCACUUGGGAUGUGCUGACCCCUGUGAUUUCCCCAAAUAUGGAAAACUUGAUUGCAUAAUUUGUAGUAGCGGGGGACUGCAUUGAUUCUCACCCUUG